GACGAACGCUGGCGGCAUGCCUAAUACAUGCAAGUUGAACGAUGAUAUUCUCUGCUUGCAGAGAAUUGAAGAGUAGCGAACGGGUGAGUAACACGUGGGGAACCUGCCCAUGAGAGGGGGAUAACAUUCGGAAACGGAUGCUAAUACCGCAUAAUGCUUUGGACCGCCUGGUCCAGAGACGAAAGACGGCUUUUGCUGUCACUCAUGGAUGGCCCCGCGCCGUAUUAGCUAGUUGGUGAGGUAAUGGCUCACCAAAGCUGUGAUACGUAGCCGACCUGAGAGGGUGAUCGGCCACACUGGCACUGAGACACGGCCCAGACUCCUACGGGAGGCAGCAGUAGGGAAUCUUCCACAAUGGGCGAAAGCCUGAUGGAGCAAUGCCGCGUGAAUGAAGAAGGUCUUCGGAUCGUAAAGUUCUGUUAUUAGAGAAGAACAAGUCAAGGAGUAACUGUCUUGACUUUGACGGUACCUAACCAGAAAGUCACGGCUAACUACGUG
rnacentral:rRNA from 1 species